ensembl:lncRNA
GAGUGUGCACAGCCAAGGAGGCUGCGCCGCCCCUGGGGGACCUCACCCGGAGGAAAUCCCACCCAUCUCGGGGUUCUGCUGAGGCACUGGCCCAGCACCCUUGGAGGGGCAGCAUCUCCCGCCCUGCUGCCUGCUGGCGGCAGAAGUCAGGUUCCCACGGCUGCCUUCCCCCUGGAGUUUUCCACUAAGUCAGGCCCAGAAGCGCUCGGCGAGCGCGGGGACUGUGCCGGAAGUGAGUGGGCAGGCACGGGGUGGGCGCUGCUGGCGCUGGGAGGCCGCAGGAGGUGGCACUCUCCAGGUUCCUGCGGGUUGUCCUGGGGGGCCAGCGGGCUCCUCUGCCCCAGCCUGGCGGGUUGUCCUCGGGGGGGGGCCAGCGGGCUCCUCUGCCCCAGCCUGGCCUCGAGCAGGAAGCAGAGCUGGCCUUGGCGCCUGCACUGCAGGAAAGGGCCCUCGAGGGUGACAUCACCCAGGUCCCGGCUUCAGGGACAGCGCGGAAGCUGCCAAGGGGCCCUCAGCUCCUGGCGGGGGCACCGUCCCUACCGACACCAGGGGGCAGGCUGGGCUUCCUGGGGCGCCGACCUUUGGCCCUACCGGCGGAUUAAAGCCACAGCCAAGCCGCGGCCAAACCCGCCCCAUGCCCGGGUGACCCCGCAACCACAGCAGGACCCGGUCCCCCGGGCCCUCCUCCCGGGAUGGGCCCCCCAGGAGCUGGGAGGGUGGCUGACGCCAGUCCUAGGAGAUGGGGGGGCUGUGCCCAAGGCGGUCACCGCCUUCACACACAGGAGGGGUCAAGCUACCCGAUCCCCUCCCCCCGCCACCACCACUUUAAACCAAGACGCUCAGGGCGCUCCCCGCGCCGCAGGGCCCAGUUCUGAGCGUCAGGAACCGUGUCCAGAGCUGCUCAUCCGGGCCCCACAGAUCGGGGACCGGAAUCCAGAAUGUUCUCCCCCAGAGCGGCGCCCCCUGGGGAGCGCUGGGGGUCUGCCCUAAGGUCACCGUGGGGACAGGCCAGGGGCCCUGCAGGAGUCGCUGGCGCAACGCCCCCAGCCUCGCCCAGGGAGGGGCCGGAGUUGGGGACCCUCGGAAAGCCACAGGCGGGACAGUGCCAAGGCCGGGAGACCCGGGGGCCACCCCUCCUCCUCUUCACCGCCCCUCCGCUGCCACCCGCUCCUCGCAGAAGCCACCUAACGUCCCACCGCAGCGCGGCCCUGGGCUUCCCGGGGAGCCUGUCCCGGCCUCGCAGCGGGCCAGGCCUCUGCGUCCCGACGCCCCCUAUCCGCCGGCCCAGCCGGGAGCCCCAACACUAGGUGAGGGGUCCCGCAAAGCGGCAGGACGGCGCAGGGGGGCGGGCGGGGCUGUGCUUCGCGUGGAAACUCGGCGAGAGUGCACGCACCCCCAGCAGCACGGACUGCGGGGCGGGGCUGCGCGCACAAGCGGGCUCACGCACGCCCGGAUCCGUGUACACAGCCACAGUGCGGACAUCCUCGGGCCCCAACACGUCCUCGAGGUCGUCCACGCAGGGAUGAGUGGAAACCAGGAGCUCGUGAGGCCCGGGCGGCGCGGACGCGGCGAUGCACACGCGGAAAGGCGCACGCCCCAGGGUUGCACACGCGAGGCCCCGCGGGAGGCGGUGGGGACGCCCCUCUGACCCCCGUACGUGGCCGCCGCCGCGGCCUCUGGGCGCCAUCUUCGGCCCGCGGGCAGCGGAAGGACGGAAGGACUCGCAGCACGCGCAGCGCCCGAGCUCGGGCCUUUGUUGUCGCGGCUUCCGGGCGUCCAUCACGCGGAGGCCGCGCACGCCGGGGCC